UACGUAGGGUGCAAGCGUUGUCCGGAAUCAUUGGGCGUAAAGAGCGUGUAGGCGGCUUGGCAAGUCUGACGUGAAAGCCCGCGGCUCAACCGCGGAUUGUCGUUGGAAACUGCCUCGCUAGAGUCCGGAAGAGGAGAGCGGAAUUCCUGGUGUAGCGGUGGAAUGCGCAGAUAUCAGGAAGAACACCCGUGGCGAAGGCGGCUCUCUGGGACGGUACUGACGCUGAGACGCGAAAAGCGUGGGGAGCGAACAGG
rnacentral:rRNA from 1 species